rnacentral:rRNA from 1 species
UACGGAGGGUGCAAGCGUUAUCCGGAAUCAUUGGGUUUAAAGGGUCCGCAGGCGGGAAGAUAAGUCAGUGGUGAAAUCUCACAGCUCAACUGUGAAACUGCCAUUGAUACUGUCUUUCUUGAAUUCGAUCGAAGUGGGCGGAAUGUGACAUGUAGCGGUGAAAUGCUUAGAUAUGUCACAGAACACCGAUAGCGAAGGCAGCUCACUAGGUCUGGAUUGACGCUCAGGGACGAAAGCGUGGGGAGCAAACAGGAUUAGAAACCCGUGUAGU